rnacentral:lncRNA from 1 species
ACUAAACUAGAAUACUAAAGCUAUCAAUUAAAGAGUCCUUUCAAUAUUCAUAAAAGCUAAGGAAAAUACAAGCUAAAGGGUGUAUUUAUUCUUAUUACAACCAAAUGACAAAAAUACCCUUAAUGAAGGGUGCUCCUUUGGAGUGUAAAAGAGGAGUACUAAAAGUCCAUAAUACCCCUAAGUUAAGGCGCCCUUAGAGCGUAUCCAAGGC